GGAGUCUAAAAGGAGGAGGCGAAUCGAACGCAAAAAUUAUGGGCCCAGUUUUUGAGAUCUAAAUGAAGUUCGAAAAUCGCCGUUAGGGGCGCUUGUGAUGAUUGGGAUACUAGAAAUACACAGCUUCUUAUGGCAAGAAUAACUAUUUUGUUAUAAAUUAUAGAGCCAAGUUAAUAUUUGGGCAUAUUUUUACCAGAGUUAGCUUUUAGAAACGUGGUUUUUCUAAUUGAGCAAUGUGCGUGGCUAAAAUUGUGAAUACAAAACCUUAAAUUUGAGUUUGAAAAUGCAUACACGACCGAAGAAACAUAUAAGCUGCUAAAAUAAAUCUUCCCUAGAACUGUUGUACAAAAAAGAUAGAAGUUCCAGCAACAAAUUUAUCACCAGUUCAACCUUUGAUUUGAUGUAAACAGUAAUUGUUUCUUGAUGAGAAAUGCGAAUGAAAUAGUUUAUGGUGUGAUUGUGUUAGUGUUUUAUUAAUAGUUUUGUUGAUGCAGUUUAAAGGUUCAUAGUUUUUCAUUAAAACAUUUGAAAUUGACAUGUUUACAUGCAGUUUAGUGUGAUACCAUUUUAAUAAACAUUAAAAUCUUUCGAACUAGUAGUGGUUUUAUGGCGAUUGACAGAUUGAAUAACGAAAAU